rnacentral:rRNA from 1 species
GCUUGUCUCAAAGAUUAAGCCAUGCAUGUCUAAGUGUAAAUACGUCUACACUGUGAAACUGCGAAUGGCUCAUUAAAUCAGUUAUCGUUUAUUUGAUGAUCUCUUGUUACAUGGAUAACCGUAGUAAUUCUAGAGCUAAUACAUGCGUCAAGCCCCGACUUCGGAAGGGGUGUAUUUAUUAGAUACAAAACCAAUGCCCUUCGGGGCUCCUUGGUGAUUCAUGAUAACUAUACGAAUCGCACGGCCUUGCGCCGGCGAUGGUUCAUUCAAAUUUCUUCCCUAUCAACUUUCGAUGUUUGGGUAUUGGCCAAACAUGGUUGCAACGGGUAACGGAGGGUUAGGGCUCGACCCCGGAGAAGGAGCCUGAGAAACGGCUACUACAUCCAAGGAAGGCAGCAGG